CCCAUCAUAUAUCCGAAACUAAAAAAAAAACUUGAAAACCGCCGGAGGGUGUCAUAUUUUUGGAGGGCGGCGCACAACGCAACACUACGUCUUGGCCGAAAUCUGCAAUCUUCCUCUAUUUUUGCUCCUUUCUCCACCAUCGAAUCUCC
ensembl:ncRNA F55C12.9 ncRNA